AGAACGGUUCUCGCCUCAAGUCAGGUUC
rnacentral:sRNA from 1 species